rnacentral:lncRNA from 1 species
UUUUCGAUUCGAGUCUUGUCGUAGAGGUUGAAAGUCACAGUUUCAGUUGGCGUUUUCAUUUCCGAUUUGUCGAGGUUAUCAAAAGGUUUAUCUCUUUUCAUCACUUUUAUUAAUCCAUAGAUACAUUUCGUGUUUCAUGUUUUUGAACUUGCUAUGAUUUUAAUCGUGGCUAUAUAUUGUUACUUUGUUUAAUUUGUUCUUGGAAUAGUUGAAUUAAUUUGUUAUGAUUUUAAUCUAAGUUAGUUCCACUGAAUUAUGUUUUAUUAGACGUGUUCUAUACAUUUGAAAUUGAACACAUGACAUAAUUAGUUUUAAUGGAUAUACAUAUAGCGACACUUUGAGGGGUUGGAUCGGAGAAAUAAUCUAUGAAAAUUAGAAUUGGCUCUUGAUCAUAAACUGAGAACCAAAUCUUAAUAUACUUUUAUUGUUAAUCUCUAGGAGUAUGCUUAGACCGACUACACUUGAGUAGGCAAAUCUUAGAAUCUUUGUUACCUUCGAGGCGGGAGGUCGUUUCCUUUGUUAAGUUUAUCAGGGGAAUUCCCCGCAUAAUUUGUAUAUAUUUUAUUUCAAGGAAUGCCCCGAAGAAUUUUGUAAAUGUUCUGGAGGCCUUGACGAGCACUGUGGAUAAAUUGAAGAAUGGGCUAGUUUAGGAUUUUUCUUUACUUUUUCUUUUAUUAGAUGGGGAGACCUCGAGCCUCUCUCUUGUGUUUAUUUUCCUUUUUUUGUUUAUUUUUAUCUAAAUUUGAAUAUUUUAAAAGUUGACUAGAUCAAGUAUGCAAGUUUACUAGUUACGGGACUUGGGGAGUGCCUCACACCUUCUCCUCGAGUCAACUGAACCCCCAUACUCGAAUCUCUGGUAUAGACUUAGUUUUGGAGUCUCAAGUGUUUUAAAAUAAAAAUUAUUUUUAGAAUAAAUGGUGAUGUGACACAUUAAAAUCAAAUGUUAGUUGGCGACUCUGAGUUAAUCCUUUCGAACACCAUUUUUGUCACUUUUAAAAUUGAAAAACCCUUUUGAGAUAUACAAAUUCCUUCUAUACAUUUUAAGAGGGUGGAGUGAAAUUGGGUAAAAAGGAGGUGUGACCCUCACCUAGAAUUUACACUAAAGGAAUAUAUUUGUGACGACCUGACCCGUCAUCUCAUGAGUUACCGCUUCAUUUCCCCCAUUUUAUGCCUCUCUAUGCUUCGUUAUCAGUAUUUGAUGUGAUCGAGUCGAUUUGGAUUAGUUUUGAUAGAAAUGAGACCAUUAGUCUCUUCAAGGAAGUCUUAGUUUGGAAAAGUCAAUCGGAUAUUGACUUAUGAGUUAUAGGGGUUGGACAUGAUUUCUGGUGAUUUGGUUAGCUUUGGGAGAUGAUUUAUGGCUUAGGAGAGUGAUCGAAAGUGGUUUUGAAAGUCCGAUGUAGAAAUAGGCUUGAAUUGGCGAAGUUAGUAUUUUGGCGAAUUCUGGUUAAUAGGUGACAUUUUGAUCUGAGGGUCGGAAUAGAAUUUCGAGAAUUGCAGUAGCUUCAUUAGGUGAUUUGGAACGUGUGUGCAAAAUUUCAGAUCGUUUGGAGGUGAUUUGAUUAGGUUUUUGAUCGAAUGCGAGUUACGGAAUAUUUUGAAGAACUUAGGCUUGGAUUUGAUGUAAUUCGAUGGUUUUAGCGUUGUUUGAGGUGUUUUGAUGAAUGGAGCCAGUUUUAAUAACGUUUUGGGAUGUAUUGGUAUAUUUGGUUGAGGUCUCAGGGGCCUCGGGGUGAGUUCGGGUGGCUAUUGGGAAGUUUUGGACUUGUGGAAUUGGAAAUUUGUUGUUGCUUCUAGUAUACUCGCUUCAGGGGAUUUGGGACCGCAGAAGCGGUCUCGCAUGUGUUGCAGGGAAGUCGUAGAAGCGGAAAGGAGCUAGACUGGGUUGGAUCAUAGAUGCGUAUAGGGAACUGCACCAGCGAAGCCGCAGAUGCGGCUGAGUGACCGCAGAAGCGAUUCCGCAUAAGUGGAAAUGUGACCGCAGAAGCGAAAAUGACUAGGCAGAGGUAUUUAAGUUCUCCUUCGCGAAUUUUUGAAGAGUUAGUCCUUUUUCACUUCAGACUUGGAGGAUUUUGGACGAUUUUGGAAAGGGAAAUCAAGGGACUUAACGGAAGUAAGGAUGUCUGAACCUAGAAUGCAAUUCUAAGGUGUUAUUACAUGAAUUAAGACUUAAAAAUUAAGGAAUAAAGGGUUAAAAAUAGAGGUUAGGGCAUGGACUUAAGAGAGUUAAUAAUGGGGAUUUGAGAGAUCAAUUGAACCCCAAUUCUUGUGAUAUUGAUAUGUAUGAACUCGUGGCAAGAUAAGAAAUCCAUUGAUGGAAACUUUCUGUGUUUCGAGAAGUGGGCUAAUUCGGGAUUUUCGAUAUUUUUUUAUUGUUUUCGAUUUUGUAUUGAUCCCUUCGCCUAUUAUGACGUAUUCGUUGUGGUUUUUGUCAGAUUCGGUGCACGAGGAGGCCGAUUUGAGAGGCAAGGCAUAGCAAGCUAGAGUUUUGGCCGGCUUGAAGUGAAUAAUGAUUGUAAAUGAUGUUCCGAGGGUUUUAAACCCCGGAUUGCACAACGUAGUGCUACAUUAAGGUGAGACACGCGCUUACUAACGAGCGCGAUAUCGUUUACUAUUGGGGAUUGUGAUUUGGUUUGUCCCGGUUGAUGUUUUACCGCGUAUUUGAUUAAGACUUGUUGUUUUCACCAUGACUUGGGCUUAUUGCCGAUUAUUUGAAAUCCUUUGUGAACUUUUAUCACUGUUUUCCUCAUUAUUUUGACAUAUUACUAGAACUCAGUCCCAUUGAAUUUCAUUGUUUUGCAAAACUCAGCUGCUUUUACUCGAAUUUGAGACUUAAAUGAUAUUAAAAAAUAUUGCUUGAGCUGAGCACUAUUAUUUUACUGAUGCCCAAGGGGCUUGUGAUGAUAUUUUGGACUGAGUGAGGCCGAGGACCAUUUGUGAGGAUAUGUUGCGGGUUGCCCAAGGUCAGUUGAUGUUUUGAAGAUUGACAAAUGAACUCAGGGAUGGACCUGGUCCAUCUUGAGAGACAUAGUUUGUCAUAACCAUUGCACAUGGGAGGCACGUGAGGAAGAUAGGUAUUUAAGAUCACGCAACAAAUAUCUUCUGAACUGAAUCGAAAAUAUUGCAUCGAGUUCUAAGGAGGACGGUCUCCUUUUGAUAAGAGAACACAAUCCUAAGCUAGGAUAAGAGUUGGAGUUCGUAUUGGUUAAGGACUUAAAUCGACUAAAGAUAAGCAUUGGAGUCUAGAUCAAACUCUAACUACUAAUCUAUUAAAUAACCAAGUUGUUCUCUUUUACAGGUAAUGGACAUAUGCAGAAGUAAAGCAUAGUUGAGAGCAAAAGAGAAAGUCUGUUUUGCAAGCAAUAUAUGUGAGACGUAAGUGUGCACGCCUGAAGCUACUUGAACAAGAUAGAAGAACCAGUUCCAUUGUGUUUAUUCUUAUUCUAGUUCAAUUGUAGUAGGUGUUUCAUUUUGUACCUUUCGGCUUUCAUAAAAGCAAUUGUAUUAGGUACUAUGAGUAUUCAAGGUGGAGUUAACUUGAUAGUGUCGUAGCAGUUGAGGCUGUGUGCCAUACUGGGAUUAGAGUUUAAUCCUUAGGUUUACAAAGUGUUUUGUAAAUGUUGUUUUUUGCUCAGUGAUUUUAG